rnacentral:rRNA from 1 species
GGCGGCGUGCCUAACACAUGCAAGUCGAACGCGAAAGUCCCGCAAGGGAUAAGUAGAGUGGCAAACGGGUGAGUAACACGUGGGUGACCUGCCUUCGAGUGGGGGAUAACGUCCCGAAAGGGACGCUAAUACCGCAUAACAUCCUGCCUUUGAAGAGGUGGAGAUCANAGCUGGGGACCGCAAGGCCUGGCGUUCGAAGAGGGGCCCGCGCCUGAUUAGCUAGUUGGUGAGGUAAUGGACCACCAANGCUUCGAUCANUAUCCGGCCUGAGAGGGCGGACGGACACACUGGGACUGAAACACGGCCCAAACUCCUACGGGAGGCANCAGUGGGGAAUUGUUCGCAAUGGGCGCAAGCCUGACGACGCAUCGCCGCGUGGAGGAUGAAGANCUUCGGGUCGUNAACUCCUUUCGAUC